rnacentral:tRNA from 1 species
GGGCCGUUAACUCAGAGGGAGAGUGCUUCCUUGACGCGGAAGAAGCCAUAGGUUCGAAUCCUAUACGGCCCACCA